rnacentral:lncRNA from 1 species
AUGGUCCAGAAGUCAACGGACCAGAAAUUGACGCCCCCGGACCAGAAGUCGAUGCCUUCGAACCAGAAGUCGAUGGAGGGCGACGCCCCCUUUCCAGUCCUGAGGUCGACGCUCUCUCCAGUCCAGAGGUUGAUGCUCCUUCAUGUCCAGAGGUCGACGCUCCUUCGUGUCCAGAGGUUGACGCUCCUUCGUGUCCCGAGGUCGACGUCCCCUCCAGGCCAGAGGUCGACGUCCCCUCCAGUCCAACGUCUCCACCGUCUCCAUUCCAGUGGUCGAUGCCGUCUCCAGUCCAUUGGUCGACGCCGUCUCCAGUCCAGUGGUCAACGCCGUCUCCAGUCCCGUGGUCGACGCCGUCUCCAGUCCCAUGGUCGACGCCGUCUCCAGUCCAGUGGGCGACACCGUCUCCAGUCCAGUGGGCGAGGCCGUCUCCAGUCCAGUGGGCGACGCCGUCUCCAGUCCCGUGGUCGACGCCGUCUUCAGUCCAGUGGUCGACGACGCCGUUUCCAGCCCAGAGGCCGACGACGACGCCUCCGGCCCAGAGGCCGCCGCCGCAGCCUCCAGCCCAGAGGUCGACGACGACGCCUCCAGCCCAGAGGUCGUCGCCGCCGCCUCCAGUCCAGAAGUCAAGGAUGUCUCCUCCGGCGUCUCUGCCUCCGGUCACCGCCAGUCCUGCCCUCAUCAGGCGCGGGCCCCCAAGAGCUCGUCCACGUCUCCUCCUCUGCCACAGACGCAGGCCCCCGAGAGCUCGUCGUUGUCUCCUCCUCUGCCCCAGACGCAGGCCCCCAAGAGCUCGUCGUCAUCUCCUCCUCUGCCCCAGACGCAGGUCCCCGGACUUCACUGGUUCCUGCCUCCUCUCCACCGGUCCCUCGGUUCCUCUUGGCCCUCCUUCCUGGUCCCCCUCCUCCCGCCCUGCUCUGUGUGCCUGUGGGCGUCUGGGAUCCGCCCUUUUGGGGGGGUACUGUUACACUCUGUCUUGUCUCCCCGUUCUGUUUAGUCAUGUGUCUCUGUUAA